rnacentral:rRNA from 1 species
UAAGCAUAUCAAUAAGCGGAGGAAAAGAAACCAACAGGGAUUGCCUCAGUAACGGCGAGUGAAGCGGCAACAGCUCAAAUUUGAAAUCUGGCCCUAGGCCCGAGUUGUAAUUUGCAGAGGAUGCUUUUGGUGCGGUGCCUUCCAAGUUCCCUAGAACGGGACGCCAGAGAGGGUGAGAGCCCCGUACAGUUGGACACCAAGCCUUUGUAAAGCUCCUUCGACGAGUCGAGUAGUUUGGGAAUGCUGCUCAAAAUGGGAGGUAUAUUUCUUCUAAAGCUAAAUACCGGCCAGAGACCGAUAGCGCACAAGUAGAGUGAUCGAAAGAUGAAAAGCACUUUGAAAAGAGGGUUAAACAGCACGUGAAAUUGUUAAAAGGGAAGCGCUUGUGACCAGACUUGCGUCCGGUGAAUCACCCAGCUCUCGCGGCUGGGGCACUUCGCCGGCUCAGGCCAGCAUCAGCUCGCUGUCGGGGACAAAAGCUUCAGGAACGUAGCUCUCUUCGGGGAGUGUUAUAGCCUGUUGCAUAAUACCCUUCGGCGGGCUGAGGUACGCGCUCCGCAAGGAUGCUGGCAUAAUGGUCAUCAGCGACCCGUC